UACGUAGGUGGCAAGCGUUGUCCGGAUUUACUGGGCGUAAAGAGCGCGCAGGCGGUCGGAUAAGUCGAAUGUGAAAGCCCCUGGCUCAACCAGGGAGGGUCAUUCGAUACUGUUCGACUCGAAGGCAGGAGAGGGAAGUGGAAUUCCGGGUGUAGUGGUGAAAUGCGUAGAUAUCAGGAGGAACACCGGUGGUGUAGACGGCUUUCUGGACCGUAACUGACGCUGAGGCGCGAAAGCGUGGGGAGCGAUCCGG
rnacentral:rRNA from 1 species